CUACGGGUGGCUCCAGUGGGGAAUAUUGGACAAUGGGGGAAACCCUGAUCCAGCAACGCCGCGUGUGUGAAGAAGGCCUGCGGGUUGUAAAGCACUUUCGGUUGGGAGGACUGCUUCUAGCACUAAUAUUGUUGGAAGUUGACGUUACCUUCAGAAGAAGCACCGGCUAACUCCGUGCCAGCAGCCGCGGUAAUACGGAGGGUGCACGCGUUAAUCGGAAUUACUGGGCGUAAAGCGCGCGUAGGCGGCUAGAUCAGUCGGGUGUGAAAGCCCCGGGCUUAACCUGGGAACUGCAUCCGAUACUGUCUAGCUUGAGUACAGGAGAGGAGAGUGGAAUUCCACAUGUAGCGGUGAAAUGCGUAGAUAUGUGGAGGAACACCAAUGGCGAAGGCAGCUCUCUGGCCUGAUACUGACGCUGAGGUGCGAAAGCGUGGGGAGCAAACAGGAUUAGAUACCCCAGUAGUC
rnacentral:rRNA from 1 species